UGACUUACCUGUCAGGGGUGAUUCCAUGAUCACAAAGGUGGUUUCCCCAGUGUGAGGCUUAUCCAUUGCACUCCAGAUGGGCUGACCCCGUUGAUUUCCCCAAAUGCGGGAAACUCAACUUCAUAAUUUGUGGUCAAAAUC
ensembl:snRNA U1 U1 spliceosomal RNA